AUAUAUAUAUAUAUGUAUGUAUAUAUGUGUGUGUGUGUUUGACGUUUAACUGCAGCUGUGAAUCGCGGUACAGUUGUAUUAUGUUUUAAUACAGGAAAGAAUGUCAAAGAAUGCGAUUCAACAUUCAUUCAUAGACUAUACAUAUAAAGUGACAGUAUCAUUCAAUUUAAGGGUUAUGUUGAGUUAGAAUGAAUCUGAAAACGACCUCAUUUUGAUUAUUUUUUUUAAUCUUGAAAGCGUACACAUCGGAAAGCGUAUGGGUGCAGCCAUAAGUAGGAUGUAGGUGUACAGAUGAAUAUACAUUCUCACAUACGUAGGUAUUUUUCCCAAAGAAAAAGUAUUUGAGAAAUUUCAUUCUGUAGCAUUGAUUUAUUGAAAAGAAAAAAGAUUUGUUUGUGGCCAUCGGUAAACAAAAUGUUCCUGCAUUCCGAACACUCGGAGAAUUCAGGGAAUUCAGAAGCCCAGCCCUUGAAAAGAAUUACUUUGUACACACUACUUUUUCUCUUUCGUUGAGGAAUUACUGCACUGUGAUACGAGAAGUUUAUACCAACCUGUGUCUGUUUUCAUGUGUCAUCACCUGCAAUAAGAAAACGCAGAGAAUCGACCCCUUACUGUUGACUGUACAGCUAAACGCCUCCAGCCGACACGCUUGUGUAAAAGGUAACUCUAUAAACAAGAAGCACUGCAUUAACUACCAGGGCUUGAUGGAUUAUCCAUCAGAUUGACCCGAGCACUUGGAGUGUGUUUGCCGCUGGGAAAGCCACACUUUUUUUUUUUUUGCUGUACACCCGUACGUCACAGAGCACUCCUUCAUCUUCUGUAAGAAUCAGUCCCAGAGUUCCUCGCUGCCUUUGACAUCCCCACACAGCCCAUGUCUCUGUGGCCUAAUCGAUUUCUACGACUGCAAGCCUUAAUAAUGGUUGUGUGAACUCCAAAAGAUGCCACUAAAACUGUGAUCUCUUUCCUAAGCUGGAAGACUUUCUUGUUAUUGUCACAUGUUGUAGGAGUUGUACAGUACAAACCUGCCAAAGUGUAACAAUAUACAGCACAGUGCCUUAGUGUAUGACACGAAUGUGGAUGAGCGCAGUCGUUUUUUGGGAAAAAUUAACACUAAAGGUGCGGUCACAUUUACUGUUGCUAGGCGGAGAAAUCAGUGCAGAUGAAAUCAGUCAUUCCGAUAGGAAUUUGUGUGGUUUUCCCAUGCAGAUUUAGCUCAUUUUCAAGUUGUUUUAAUGCUAAUUUGCUGAACUGACCAGAUGCUUGGUUUGAAAGUGACUUCUGUGUGAGCUGUGCUUUAUACAUCGCUGCGACAAUACACAAUGGACUUUUUGUCCGCAAAAUUUCGCUGCAGUUUAGCAAAUGGGACCACACCUUAAGAUCCUACGAGUCAUCUUUAUAAAAGAGCACUGGCCAUUUGGUUGACCUUUCACUCUCAGAGACCGAAGACAUGUUUAGACAUACAGAUCUUGCCUUUCUUAUCGGAAAAGACCAAAACGUUGAAGGAGAUGCAUUGAGCUCCUCUUUAUUUCCUGCACUGUAGCAUGAAAGUGCCUUUGGUUUCCAGCUUAGAAAAGACUGAUGUUAUUUUCCAUUCUUAAAAUGAUCAAAAACCAAAAAAAAAGAAAAGUGGAUGUAGGUAAAAUAUUCACCACAUUGCCUUCAUAAGAAUUUUAUAGAAAAAAAAACAUGGGCCUAGUGAGUGGAUAUGUCCUGAAAUAAAGUUAUGUAAUAAUUAUUAAUAACACAUUUCUAUCAGCAUUUGAUUUGGUCGAUGUGGCAAACUGUCUUUUAUUUUUUUCUUUCGAACUGUGAACUUCGGUUCCAUUCUAUGAGAGAUUUAUUUGACAUAGAGCUGUAGCUACUUUUCUAGUGCAUAAUCGAAUUGUGAAAGUGGAAAACCUUACAGCACCUGCUUGCUGAAUGGUGUUUGCUUUUCCCUUUCUUCUUGUUUCAAGCCAUUUCAAUGUCUUCUUUUUCUUUUGUGAAUAUAGUAAACACUAUAUUAAGUGACGUCAAGGUGUGUUACUCCUCAGACCUUAAAGAUAGUCAAGGAUAUGAACCGCAGAGUCACGUGUACGUUCUUUACGGACAAAGCUGGCUUCACCAAACCAUAUCAUCUCCACUGCGUAAUUUAUUCGUGCUGUUCAUUUAAAAGUGGAUGGAACCCUCAAAGCGUGAGAGACUAAGUUAGAUUUCCAGCUGUGUAUGUUGUAGCGCUUCAAGUAAACUGUGGAGUUAUUAAGUACGCGCGAUAUCGAAACGGCAGACGGUGUUGAUUGUUUUGUGUUUGCUGUACCUUCGCCCUUCGUUCUUGUUCACGUUUCAUAUAGAGAUCUUCCUGUAUUGUUCUACAUGUACACGAUGGUUUUGUGACGACUUCAGUAUAUUCAGAGCCCGUUCGGGUGGUGAUACUGUUACUGCUGCGCUGCUGGUGCACCUGCUACGUCAGUUCCUCCUUAACAGCCCCCUUUACUUCUCUAGCGAUCUGAGAACUAAUGCCUUUAAUAUGAUGAAUGUUAAACGGACAUUGUUUGCUAGUAAUGGACACUAAGCAAGGAUUCGAGCGGAAUCCGGACUACAGUAUAUCAGCAGUUUAGUUUAUGUUUUUUGAUCUAUGUUUGUAUUUUGUUUGUAUGUGUAGGUACUGGUACCUCCUAUGUUCAUUACCAUUUAAGAUGUUGGCUUUAAAGUGAACUUUUCUCUAGUUCCGAUAGUAUCAUAAAAAGAUAUUGGGUUUGUGUGCAGAGAUUUUUUGUAAAAAGGUGCUUUGUAUAAAAUUAUAUAUUCCGGCUUUUCUUGGUACAAAGGUGUGAUAUCUUUUAAUAUCCCGGAUGAUGGAAAAAAAGCAUUGGAGCAAGGCUGAGAGAGAAAAGAAAACCUAUUAUGUGUGUGUUCUUUAUCGCAUAUGGUCUUGUCUUUGCUCCGUAACAUUUUGAUGCCUUCUUGAUAAAGUGUCUAGAAAGGUACAAAAU